UGAAUACGAGAUGCUACGGCGUCGAAGCAGUCUAUGUCAUACUUCCAAGAAAAGCUUGCACUGUCAUAAACAAAUAAUGCCUGUACCAUAACCGACACAGGUGGGUAGGUAGAGUAUACUAAGGGGCGCGAGAUAACUCUCUCUAAGGAACUCGGCAAAAUGACUCCGUAACUUCGGGAGAAGGAGUGCCUUAUUUUUAAGGUUGCAAUAACAAGAUCCAAGCAACUGUUUACCAAAAACACAGGUCUCCGCUAAGUCGUAAGACGAUGUAUGGGGGCUGACGCCUACCCAGUGCCAGAAGGUUAAAGAAGUUGGUUAGCAUCCGCGAAGCUGAUAACUGAAGCCUGGUGAACGGCGGCCGUAACUAUAACGGUCCUAAGGUAGCGAAAUUCCUUGUCGGGUAAGUUCCGACCCGCACGAAAGGCAUAAUGAUUUGGAUACUGUCUCGGAGAGGGGCUCGGUGAAAUAGACUUGUCUGUGAAGAUGCGGACUACCUGCACCAGGACAGAAAGACCCUAUGAAGCUUUACUGUAACCUGAAAUUGAAAUUGGACUUUACUUGCGCAGUAUAGGUGGGAGGCGUUGAGAAUAUUCUUGCGGGAUUAUUGGAGCCAUCAGUGAGAUACCACUCUUGUAAUGUUAGAUUUCUAACUUUGUAUCAUUAUCUGGUCAAAGAACAGUUUCAGGCGGGCAGUUUGACUGGGGCGGUCGCCUCCUAAACGGUAACGGAGGCGCACAAGGGUUUCCUCUGAACGGGUAGAAAUCGUAUCUAGAGUGUAAAGGCAUAAGGAAGCUUGACUGUGAGACCUACAAGUCGAGCAGGGACGAAAGUCGGUCUUAGUGAUCUGACGGUGCUGAGUGGAAAGGCCGUCACUCAACGGAUAAAAGUUACUCUAGGAUAACAGGCUGAUCUCCCCCAAGAGUUCACAUCGACGGGGAGGUUUGGCACCUCGAUGUCGGCUCAUCGCAUCCUGGGGCGGUAGUACGUCCCAAGGGUUGGGCUGUUCGCCCAUGAAAGCGGUACGCGAGCUGGGUUCAGAACGUCGUGAGACAGUUCGGUCCAUAUCCGGUGUAGGCGUUAGAAUAUUGAGAGGAGCCUUCUUUAGUACGAGAGGACCGAGAAGGACAUACCUCUGGUGUACCAGUUAUCGUGCCAACGGUAAACGCUGGGUAGCUAUGUGUGGAGUGGAUAACCGCUGAAAGCAUCUAAGUGGGAAGCCCACCUCAAGAUAAGUAUUCUC
rnacentral:rRNA from 1 species